GUUGGACUUCGGACACUGGCUCGAACAACUCCUGCAGCAAUGUUAAGUGGUUGAUUUGGAUGUAAUGGGGACAGAACUACUGGCAUUCACCGUCAUUGUUUUGCUGAGAACAACUUCGGGAUUUUUGUCUACGUGCAGUGUAACACGAGAGUCUUCUGGGGGCAGCCCACAAGUGUCACCACGCUUCUGGCACCAACAAAGCAUGACCACAACUUCCUGACCUGUACGUCAUUGGAAUGCAGGAGGAAACCGGAGCACCCGGAGGAAACCCACCCAGACACAAGGGGAGAACGUACAAGCUCCUUACAGACAAUGGCUGGAAUUGGACCUGGGUCGCUGGUGCUGUAAUAGUGUUACACUAACCACUACACUACCGUGCAUUGCCUUAGCAACGGACGUUUCCUGAAUCUUGAUGUCGGGUUGACCAGCUUCUGAUUCCUUGUUUACUUGUCCCUCCACCCUUGAUUGAAGGUGUUACAUUUGCUGCUUCUCAUUCACUGGGAACUUCCUUGAAUCCAGGGAAUUUUUGAAGACCACGACCGAUGCAUCGUCUCUCUCUGCAGCUGCUGUAUUUACAACCCUAGGAUGCAGGGCAUCAGGUCCAGAGGGCUGGUCAGCCUCCAGCCCCAAUCAUUUGCCAGGCUACAAAGUCUCUGACGCGUCUGCAGCUUUGCUGGGGGUGAAUCCUGUGGUCAAAGGAAGCAUUGUGCAAUGCUGAAACAAGAAGUUAGCCAGCCAGUAAUUCACUGCCAAAUUGGAACAAAGUUGGCACACCUCGUCUCUCCAGGUCUUUCAACUGCCCUCACAGAGGCUUGAUAUUAUGGGAAAGUUAAUGAUCACCGAAAGGAACAUUCAGACAGAUAACUGUGAACUUAGAUCCACUGCCUGACACCAACUCUUUGGGAAUACCUUGAUCUGCAUACAUCAGGCUCAGCUCCUCUGUCAUACACUCUGCUGCUGUGCAUGAUCCCACAUGUUGAAAUUCAAUCCAUUUAGAAAAACCAUAACAAAGAUUAGAAACUUGUUGUUGCCUUGCUUAUAAAAAUCGAGAACUUUCUGAAUUACAGGAACACAAGAAAUGAUCAGGUUGACCUCCUGAUAUGGGGGGGUCUUUGUAGUUCUGUACCCCUGACAGACUGUACAUGUCUUCUGGAACUUAACGGGUCAGGCAGCACCUAUGGUGGGAAAUAGAUAGUCGACGUUUGGGUCUCCACCUGAAAUGUUGACUGACAAUUUCCAUAGCUGCUGCCUGAUCCACUGAAGCAGAAUCAGAAUCAGGUUUAUUAUCACUGACCUAUGUUGUGAAAUUUGUCGUUUUACAGCAGCAGUACAGUGCAAGUCAUAAAGAAGUAAAAAUUACUAUAAGUUACAAAAAUAAAUAACUAGUGUAAAAGAGGAAUAACGUGGUGGUGUUCAUGGGUUCAUGGACCAUUCAGAAAUCUGAUGGCGGAGGGGAAGAAGCUGUUCCUGAAUCAUUGAGUGUGGGUCUUCAGGCUCCUGUACCUCCUCCCCCAUGGUAGUAACAAGAAGCGGGCAUGUCCUGGAUGGUGAGGGUCCUUAGUGAUGGAUGCCGCCUUCUUGAGGCACCACUUCUUGAAGAUGUCCCCGAUGGUGGGGAGGGUUGUGCCCGUGAUGGAGCUGGCUGAGUCUACAACCCUCAGCAGCCUCUUUCGAUCCUGCACAUUGGAGCCUCCAUACCAGGUGGUGAUGCAACCAGUCAGAAUGCUCUCCGCUGUACAUCUGUAGAAAUUUGCAAGAGGCUUUGGUGACAUAGCAAAUCUCCUCAAACUCCUAACGAAGUAGAGCCGCAGAAUGAGCUUUUCCAGUGCUUUGUGUGUGGCUCCAGAUUCCAGCAUCUGCAGUCUCUUGUGUCUCUAACUCUUCCAGAUCUAUGCUAGCACCUGGCGAUGUAUGAAGCAUCUGGAAACUGAUCUGUUCUGACAAUAACUCUUGUAUGACCUGUUUCCUCAGUACACCAGCGAUGACUAUUCCAAGUCCCCACUUCAGACUUCCCCAAGUACUGGACAAUUUGAGUCUCAGUGUGAAAUAGUUGCCUAUCCAAACUUGGAUACUUUCCUGAGAUUUGGAAGUUUGCUGAUGGACUGCCUUCAGAAGCACACCUUGCUGCAUUGUCGUAGUGACUUCUGAAGCUUGACUGGAAAAUUGUCUUUAACUAAUUCUAAGGGGAAAAUUGUAAACUCUCCGUCUUUGUCAAAAUCUUAUUGUGGUGGACUGGUUGAAGCAUCAACACAGAGGUUUGUGGAAGGCGUACACUUGAUGGUGUGGCCGAGGUAAUGAAUCACCCAUCUCGGCAUUCUGGAGGUUGCUGUAGUCAGAAUGUCCAACGUCAGACCUCGAAUGGCUGUUGGGGAUUUGGUGAUCUACAACUGAAAUGAAAGAUCUUCCCAACAGGAGCUGGUGAAAUGUCUUCAUUCCAUAAACAUGGCUGGCAAUUGUUUCUCUAUCUGCUUAUUGUUCUGUUUAACUUAAAUUGUGAGACACAGAUGUCCUCAACCUCUGGUCGUCAUCCAGAAUGUGACUGAUAACAGUCCUGUCGUUAUGUAUUAACAACGAUUCAAAGGGAGCACGUGGUCUCUGCGGGCACCCUGGUUGAGCUCCACGCUCGGUGGCCCCUCAGGGGAUCGCGUGUGUCGUGGACGGAGAGAAUGCGACUCUUCUGUGAACGGUUGUUUUCUUUGCUGUGUUGCGUGUGCGUUGCGCGGGUGUUUAGUCGCAAUAUUUUGCUGUAGUUAUAUAGCUGCUUAGUUUCUUUCCUCUUCUGUAUUAGUUGUAG